UCAAAGGUGGCGAGCAGGUGAAGGAAGCGAAGGAAGCCCACCUGGGGAGAGCUGCGGGCGGAGGAAAACAAUCGGAAGCAGGUGUGAUGGACAAGUCAAUUGAGAAACAAUUUGGGGUGGUGACGGCUGCGAGGACUGCACUUGCCACACACUGGAAAAGAAAAAGGGUUGCCGACGGUUGGAAGAGUGGAUUUUGAAAUUGACUAAAUUAGCAGAGAUGGUGAAAUUAACUGCUUUGUUUAGAGAUGAUGGGCUAGACAGCUUUAUAGGAGACUGGAAACCGUUUGUGGACUUUCUAUGCGCCAAAAGAAUAACAGUUGCUUAACAGAGGGAUUUGAAGAUUAGGGUAA